UUAAAGUUUGAUCCUGGCUCAGGAUGAACGCUAGCGACAGGCCUAACACAUGCAAGUCGAGGGGUAACAGGGGCUUCGGCCCGCUGACGACCGGCGCACGGGUGAGUAACGCGUAUGCAACCUGCCUGUAACAGCGGGAUAGCUCCCUGAAAGGGGAAUUAACACCGCAUAAGACCACGCUCUCGCAUGGGGACGGGGUAAAAUAUUUAUAGGUUACAGAUGGGCAUGCGUGACAUUAGUUAGUUGGUGAGGUAACGGCUCACCAAGACUGCGAUGUCUAGGGGUUCUGAGAGGAAGGUCCCCCACACUGGAACUGAGACACGGUCCAGACUCCUACGGGAGGCAGCAGUGAGGAAUAUUGGUCAAUGGACGCAAGUCUGAACCAGCCAUGUCGCGUGCAGGAUGACUGCCCUAUGGGUUGUAAACUGCUUUUAUAUUGGAAGAAUUGCGCUUACGAGUUAAGCGUUUGACGGUACAUUAUGAAUAAGGAUCGGCUAACUCCGUGCCAGCAGCCGCGGUAAUACGGAGGAUCCGAGCGUUAUCCGGAUUUAUUGGGUUUAAAGGGUGCGUAGGCGGAAAUGUAAGUCAGUGGUGAAAUCCUGCAGCUUAACUGUAGAAUAGCCGUUGAAACUGUGUUUCUUGAGUACAUUUGAGGUAGGCGGAAUGUGGUGUGUAGCGGUGAAAUGCAUAGAUAUACCACAGAACACCGAUUGCGAAGGCAGCUUACUAAACUGUCACUGACGCUGAUGCACGAAAGCGUGGGUAUCAAACAGGAUUAGAUACCCUGGUAGUCCUAGCCGUAAACGAUGGGUACUAGGUGUAAGAAGGUUCGAUUCUUUCUGUGCCGGCAGUUAAAGCAAUAAGUACCCCGGCCUGGGAGGACGUGCCGCAAGCAUGAACUUCAAAGGAAUUGACGGGGGGCCCGCACAAGCGGUGGGAGCAUGUGGUUUAAUUUGAAAGCAACGCGAAGAACCUUACCGGGUCUUGACAUCCCCUGAUAAUCUCAGAGAUGAGACAUCUCUUCGGAGCAAGGAGACAGGUGGUGCAUGGUUGUCGUCAGCUCGUGUCGUGAGAUGUUGGGUUAAGUCCCGCAACGAGCGCAACCCUUGCCUUUAGUUGCCAUCCUUAAGUUGGGCACUCUAAAGGGACUGCCGGUGACAAACCGGAGGAAGGUGGGGAUGACGUCAAAUCAUCAUGCCCCUUAUGUCCUGGGCUACACACGUGCUACAAUGGUCUGUACAGAGGGAAGCGAAGCAGCGAUGUGUAGCGAAUCCCAGAAAACAGAUCUCAGUUCGGAUUGCAGGCUGAAACCCGCCUGCAUGAAGUUGGAAUCGCUAGUAAUCGCAGGUCAGCAUACUGCGGUGAAUACGUUCCCGGGCCUUGUACACACCGCCCGUCAAG
rnacentral:rRNA from 1 species